GCCACGGAGCUCCCGCUGGAAGCCGGGGCUGCUGCCCCCGGGCCGGUGCCAUGGCACCGCCGCUGCUCUGCGGGAUCGCCGCUCUCCUGCUGCUCCGCGCCGCCGCCGACACCGGCUCCCACUGGGAUACGGGAGCUUCCAGCAGCCAGGAUCAUGGAUAAGCCAUUCCCACACCACCACAGGGAUCCAGGUGCUGGCACAGUUUUGGAACAACCAGGAAAUUCUGCCCUUUGCACCAGAAAAGAUGGGAAAUUUCAUCACUCCUGCAUGGAACUGAACUCGUCCUGAGGCCGAAGGGGAAGCAGGAGCUCGUUUGGGGAAAAGCAAAGCCACAACUCAAAAUCCAUUGCUGUCCCUCUGUCUGGGAUACUCGGAUUUCAGCUGCCCCCUUCCAGAGGGGAAAAACUCCUGGGAAGUGGCUGGAGGACUCACCAGCAGCUGGAAUUUUUCAUGUCCAGCUGCAAAAUGAGUGGAGAAGGAUGGGAGCAGUGACCACAGCUGGGAUUCAACAGCUGGAGGCAGCUGGGGCUGGGGCUGCUGGCCUGGGACAGUCACUGCAGGGGGAUGGAAUUCCAUGGAAAUUCCUUGCUGGCUGGAGAGCUGCUACAAGCGACCACAAACACGCCGGAAGUGGAGUUUUUCCUUUCUCCAGCCUCUGCGGGAGCCACUACAAGUGAUCCCAAAAAUGCUGGCAAUAUUUUCCCUUUCUCCAUUCCCUGUGUCAGGCACAGGGUCCCUUUAUUUUUGCAGGAUGGAUAAAUCCCUAUAUCCACCCGUAGGCAGGAUUUCAUAGCAUCGUGGAAAGGUUUGGGUUGGAAGGGAAUUUAGGGAUCACCUCAUUCCAUGUUCUACUGCAGGCAGGGACACCUUCCUGUAUCCCAGGCUGCUCCAAGCCCCGUCCAACCCGGCCUUGGACACUCCCAGGGAUGAGGAGUGGGGAAUUCCCCAGCAGAGGCAGAGGUUGGCAGAUCUGUUGCCAUUCCAUCUGUUUUUUCCCAAUCCCAGCGCGCUGCAGCCGCCCCAAGGCCGUGGCCAACGCUCACAUUGACGCCGGGAAUCGCACGGAGCUGAAUUCCCGCCUGCGCUACUCCUGCAACCCCGGAUACAAACGGAAAGCUGGGACCUCCAGCCUCAUCCAGUGCAUCCUCUGGGAGGGCUCCGAGCCCCGCUGGACCGACCCCACGCUCCAGUGCAUCCGAGAUCCGGCUCUUUCUGCGGAAACCCCCGGCCUGGAGAGCACGACCCAGAGGGCAGGUACCACCAGUGCCAGCCUGAAUUCCAGCCCCUCUCCAGCUUCCAGUCAGUCACCUGUGCCACCAGCACCUGAUGGGCCGUCACCAGAUGGAUCCAGGCCACCAGAGAUGAUUCCGACACUACCAGACACAUCCACGCUGGGACAGGGGACAACCCCGCAGCCCAGCCUGCCCACGGAUUACGCCGCAGGUUGGGCUGAUUCCCAAGGGAAUACCAACCUCCCCUGGGCCCUUGUUUCAUCCACAAAAGCUCUUCUGCUUUUCCAAUGGAAUUCUUCCUUCUCUCCAACCUUCUUUUUAGAGAGGCUUCUCCCAGCAUCCACCCCUUUCCUACCUUUGCAGCUCAAAAUUUCCUUUUCUCUCCUCUUUUCCAGUUUCCAUCCAGUCCGUGGCCUCUUCUGUUGGACUCCUGGUGCUGCUGGCCAUCGGAAUUGCGGCCGUCUGCUGCUGGAGGAGGAGGAGGAAAUGCACCAGGCAGGGCUACACGGUGACGGAGAUGGACAUUCCCAUGGAGGGAAUUCCCUCUGGGAACGAGGAGGUGACACCUCCUGUCGCUGUCCCCACGGGCUGAGCACCCACCCUGGGGACACUGGGCGCACCCACCGUGCCGAGGGAGGCCGGAGGAUGGAAUUCUGGAUGCUUCCCUGAGGGGUGGCGGAGCACACGGAGCAGCCAGGGAUGGGUGGCUGCUCUUCCGGGCUUGAACACGGAUGAUUCCCAUGGAUGAUCCCAAAGCCACGGAGCCAGAGCCAAAGGUGGUGGGACCAUCCCACCCCCACACGCAGCUCAGGGAUCCUUUGGAAGCGCUUCCAGCGCCGAUCCCGGCUCUGGAUCCCGAUCCCACCGGCUCAUGGGGAAUCCAAGCUGGAGCAGUCUCUACAGACACAUCAAGGACCAAAUAACACAAUUUAGGGAAUGUUUUCCCUUUAUCCAUCAGCAGUUUUUAGCCACUUGUUUCCUUAUCCAGGUUUUAUCCGCUUCUUGUUUCCUUAUCCAGGUUUUAUCCACUUGUUUCCUUAUACUCUGGAAAAGGCAGCUCUUUAUUUUUAUGUAUAAAUAAAUAUAUUUUAUAUAAAAAA